GUUUGCUCUUUCCAAGUUGCCUUCUAGAAUGUGGCUGUUUUCUGGAGCUGCCCUCUCCAGCAGGGAAAAGCAAGUUUGUGGGUUUCCUGGAUCAUGCCUGCGAUCAUCAGAAGCUUGACAAGGGCCCCUGUUGGAGUCGCAGGCACAAAUGAGGAAUUUGCCUGAGCAAGUCAUUAUGGAGGCCUGAAUUUCCAGAAGUGCAGAGCAGCCACAGCUCCAGUCAUAGCCAGUGGAAACAGAUCUUUGUACGUGUGAAAGUUCCAGCCUCUUCUAAAAAUCUGCUCCACAAAAUGAAGGUUAUGCACUGUAUCGAUACCAUAGCUUUAUCACGGAAACCUCCACAACAGCUAAAAAUAUGGUAGCAAUCAUUCCUCCCACAGCAGCUCGGUGGAGUCUUUUAUUCUUAAACCAGGAAGAGCUUUUCAUCACCCUUGCGCAAUACUAUUCUCUGUCUGUCAUCUGCCCACCCACGUUUCAGAGGCUAGAGAACUUCCUGUGGAUCGUGGCUAACUGACAAAUUACACAACCGCUGGCUUUUAUUACCAUCUCCGUUGUUAGCAGUUCUCCUUCUUCACACCCAUUCAGACUAUGAAAAUCAACAGCAUCAAGUGUCUGACCUUCAAUAAUUCUUUGGAUGAGAACAAAUUCACAACUCCUCUAGUAUUAUUUGUAUCUUACGAAUAGCAUGCAAGGUGUUAUGUUGUAAUAAGUCAUUUGGGGAGCAAGUGCGUGACUUGGAAUUAGGGGAGUCAAAACAGCAUUUCUUUCAUGGUUGGUGUCCUUUCCAUCCUGAAAAGCAACAUUUUCAACAUCAGAUCUAUUUGUGUAACUUGGGAGACACAUCAUUUGUGGAAAAAAUAGAUAUUUAAUCACACCGCUGUGGAAGUGGGCAGUCAUGCUUGAUUUCUUCAUUUCAGUAUUUUUUGUUCUGGUCAGAAGUGGUGUCUUUCAACUCUGAAUAAACAAGAGCUUGUUGGGAAUUGUUCAUAAAAAUGCCAAUUCAUGAAAUCUGAAACUUCUCAGAAGAGGUUUGGAGUCCAUGAAUCCCCCAACUAAAAAAAACAAUUAAAAAAUUGGAAAAAAGUUUCAAAAUGAAAGUUGCUGGUUUGCCGAUUUGAAAGAGCUUUGUUUUUUUAAAUAUAAGCUAGUUACAGGCGAAGGUAGGUUGAAAGAAAAACAGUCAAAAUCUCAACAAAACAUUUUGAAAUUAUUGAAUUGUAACAUUUCAAUUGACCUCAACUGCACAUUGGGGUUUUUUUGCUUCACUGCUAUCUUUGAGAUUUUGACUUUGUUUCCAUCAGAGAUUGUGCGGGGUGUGGGGGAGGGUGGACUUCAGACCUUCAAAUAUUUGAGGGAUCGGAAAACCAUUUCCCACCUACUUCUAGAAUAAACCCACCUACUCUCUCUUCCCAAGAAUGUUCUUGAUGUUAUAAUAAACCUCCUUUUACUGCUAUUUUCCCCCCAUUGUGUUGUAAUCUAGCCUGUAGGCUACACGUUUCAUCUAUAUGACUGACUAUUUUCUGACUUGUGACUUCUGCAUGAAACCACAUACGAUUCAGACAGCUACUUUGAAAAGAUGAUUUUUAUUAAUUUUAUGUCAAUUGCAGAAAUACAAAAAGCUUCAAAUCUUUUCAUUUUGGGUAUUUUUAGACAAGAAAUAAAACUCUUAAGUACACAAGAUCUACUUGCAAUAAAAUACCAUGAACGUUU